AUAGCGGGCGUCACAGUAUCGCCGACACCCCCACUCCUCAUUAACGAAUAUACGGAUUUGACCAUAAACCUAUCUCCUGAAUUCCAUCGCCAGCGAAUAACAUCCGGUUGAUUUUGAACCUGCAGAUUGUUAAGGGUGUGUUUUAGAGCCUAAUACUCUGUUCACUGCAAUCUAAGUUUCUUCUCACUCCUCUCAAUAUCUUUCUCCACCUCCAUCCAGAAGUAGAGAAACAGUCACUGACUCGAACCUCUUU
rnacentral:lncRNA from 1 species